rfam:Triticum aestivum genome assembly, contig: Triticum_aestivum_CS42_TGACv1_scaffold_362189_4DS
GUAAUACUCCCUCCGUCCGGAAAUACUUGUCGGAGAAAUGAAUGUAUCUAGAUGUAUUUUAGUUCUAUUUUUAUCCAUUUUUCCGACAAGUAUUUUCGGACGGAGGGAAUAUUUG